UUGCAGGCUGCAACUCGCCUGCAUGAAGCUGGAAUUGCUAGUAAUCGCGGAUCAGCAUGCCGCGGUGAAUACGUUCCCGGGCCUUGUACACACCGCCCGUCACACCAUGAGAGUCGGGAACACCCGAAGUCCGUAGUCUAACCGCAAGGAGGGCGCGGCCGAAGGUGGGUCCGGUAAUUGGGGUGAAGUCGUAACAAGGUAUC
rnacentral:rRNA from 1 species